rnacentral:rRNA from 1 species
AUGGCUCGCCGACUCUGCCGUCUCCCUCGCCUCCUCCUCCCCCUCGCCGCCGCCCCCAGGCCCCAGCCCCGCCUCCCCGCCCUAAACCCUAGCCCCGCCGCUCUCCUCCGUCCCUCAUCCUCCCCGACGCCGACGCCCUCCUUCCCCGCCUUCCCCCGCCUCUUCUCCUCCUCAUCCGCAGGCGAUUCCAGCAUGGUGGUCGUCGGCUCGGCGGACUCCUUCGAGGACAUCCACGCCAAGGUGCAAGUGGAGAAGCUCCCCGCCGUCUUCUACUACACGGCGGUCUGGUGCGGGCCGUGUCGGGCGAUGGCACCUGUGAUCGAGAAGAUGAGCAGGCAGUACCCCAAGAUACCAGUCUACAAGGUCGACAUCGACAUGGAGGGACUUGGGACCAGACUUAGUAACCUGAAAAUAUUCUCUGUCCCAACUUUCCACUUCUAUCACAAAGGCGAGAAGAGCAGCGAAGUGGUUGGUGCUGACGUGAAGAAGCUUGAAGCUGCCAUGGAAAGUCUUCACAAGCAACAGUGA